rnacentral:rRNA from 1 species
UGGGGAAUUUUUGACAAUGGGGGAAACCCUGAUCCAGCCAUCCCGCGUGUGCGAUGAAGGCCUUCGGGUUGUAAAGCACUUUUGGCAGGAAAGAAACGUCAUGGGUUAAUACCCCGUGAAACUGACGGUACCUGCAGAAUAAGCACCGGCUAACUACGUGCCAGCAUCCGCGGUAAUACGUAGGGUGCAAGCGUUAAUCGGAAUUACUGGGCGUAAAGCGUGCGCAGGCGGUUCGGAAAGAAAGAUGUGAAAUCCCAGAGCUCAACUUUGGAACUGCAUUUUUAACUACCGGGCUAGAGUGUGUCAGAGGGAGGUGGAAUUCCGAGUGUAGCAGUGAAAUGCGUAGAUAUGCGGAGGAACACCGAUGGCGAAGGCAGCCUCCUGGGAUAACACUGACGCUCAUGCACGAAAGCGUGGGGAGCAAACAGG